CGCUCUGCUGGGCCACUUUCUCCUUAAAGAUUCCCCCUCCCUUUUUUUUUUUUUUUUUGGCCAGGAACAACCUGAGUACAGUGGUCAGAAUGGAUUUCUGUGUUGGCAAGCAUAUUUUGGAAGGAAGAGAAGUGCUAUUACCUUAUCGGCAAAUCAUUCCAACAGGCAUUUUAAUCACCUGCUGCAGAGGAUAAAGUGAGCUAUGGGGAAAGCUGCUGAGGUGGUGGUGGCUGGGUGAACCACAGCUGACAGCUUCAUACAGUGAGUGUGUUCUGUCUGGCAUCUGGAUCAUAUUUGGUGCAGUUGUAGGACCCUUUGAAACCUAGCAUCUUAUUUUUCUGACACUUGGAAAAAAUAGAUCCUGAAGGAGGGACAACAAGCAAACCAAAUCAAAAUAUACUUUCCCAAAAUACGCAUAAACUUUCCCUUCCAGUAAGAAAAUACCCAAAGGACAUUGGAUCUCAGCAAUGAAUCCAAGCCUUAAGAAGCAGGAUGCAUAAAACAAACAAGGCUGCCAAGGUCAGCCACAUGCUUCUGGUGCCUUCAUCCUUGGAGGAAAUUCUGGGGCCACCAGGAAAUUCCAUGUUCCCGUGACAUUUCAGAAACACAUCAGGAGGAGGGGAGCAAGGACCUUUGCCCUUGGUCUUGCUUGGAUGGAUGAGUGCCACCCAGUCUGCUGUCUCCAAAGCUGAACCAGGCAGAUUUAGUAUUUAUGCUAAACUGCCAGCAGUUUGGAUAAGCAGCGUGUUCCCUGGCAAUGAGCUGAAGAUACACCACUGGUGCUGUAUGCCUUGUCCUGGUUGCUCUUGCAAUUAUUCUUCUGGAGGGGUUGAAGUGCAACACUUCUCAGUGGGAGAUCCUGGACUGGCAAGAUGCAUUAGCUUGGUGAAGCUGGGACCACAAGCAGUGCUUCCUCCUUCCCUCCUGCUCCCUGACUUCACUAAAACCAGCCUU
rnacentral:lncRNA from 1 species